AGCUUUGCACAGUGGCAGUGCCAUAGCCAAUGAGGUUUAUUCGAGGCACAAUUAUUGCUAAUUGAAAACAAUAAAAAUAAACAGAUUUCAUUUAGGGGAAGGAAUUAGGGCCCUUAAAAAAAUUUUCUGUUGUACUGCAAAGA